CGCGUACGCAAUCUUCCUUCAAGAGAGGGACAGCCCCGGGAAACUGGGAUUAAUACCUCAUAGGAUUACGGGCAGGCAUCUGCUUGUGAUUAAAGCUUAGGCGCUUGAAGAUGAGCGUGCGUCCUAUUAGCUGGUUGGUGAGGUAACGGCUCACCAAGGCGACGAUAGGUAGGGGGCGUGAGAGCGUGACCCCCCACACGGGUACUGAGACACGGACCCGACUCCUACGGGAGGCAGCAGUAAGGAAUAUUGGACAAUGGGGGCAACCCUGAUCCAGCCAUCCCGCGUGCAGGACGACGGCCCUACGGGUUGUAAACUGCUUUUACGAGGGAAGAAGCGCCCUGAUUUAUCGGGGUUUGACGGUACCUCGGGAAUAAGCACCGGCUAACUCCGUGCCAGCAGCCGCGGUAAUACGGAGGGUGCAAGCGUUAUCCGGAAUUACUGGGUUUAGAGGGUGCGUAGGCGGCUAGAUAAGUCAGAGGUGAAAGGCUGCAGCUUAACUGUGGAAUUGCCUUUGAUACUGUUUAGCUUGAAUUAGGAUGAGGUCAGCGGAAUGUGACAUGUAGCGGUGAAAUGCAUAGAUAUGUCAUAGAACACCGAUUGCGAAGGCAGCUGGCUAGACCUUAAUUGACGCUGAGGCACGAAAGCGU
rnacentral:rRNA from 1 species